rnacentral:rRNA from 1 species
UCGAGAAUCUUUUGCAAUGGGGGAAACCCUGACAAUGCGACGCCGCGUGGAGGAUGAAGGCCCUCGGGUCGUAAACUCCUGUCACAUGUUACGAAAGGUACAGGUUCACCUGUGCUUUGACGAAGGCAUGAGAGGAAGUCACGGCUAACUUCGUGCCAGCAGCCGCGGUAAGACGAAGGUGGCUAGCGUUAUUCGGAUUUACUGGGCAUAAAGCGCGCGUAGGCGGCCUGGUCAGUCGGAGGUGAAAGCCCGCAGCUCAACUGCGGAACUGCCCCCGAUACUGCCGGGCUUGAGUGCAGGAGGGGUGAUUGGAACUCCAGGUGUAGCGGUGAAAUGCGUAGAUAUCUGGAGGAACACCAGAGGCGAAGGCGGAUCACUGGACUGCAACUGACGCUGAGGUGCGAAAGCUAGGGGAGCGAACAGGAUUAGAUACCCCCGUAGUCC